GUGAAAUCAUAGCUGGACGACAUGCUGGGGUUGUCCGUCACCUCCACAGUGUACAGGCCCAGAUCCUCCUCCGAUGCAUCAGUCAAGAGACCUGGAGUUUCCUCAUUAAUCUCCUCUGCCUCGUAUGUCAGACAGAUGAAGCCGUCAUCAUCCACACCGAUCUGGAUGUCUUUGGAGCCUGCAGGGGAAGAAAUUCAAUUAACUAUUGGUGCUACUCUUCUCCCCGUUCCUCGCCUGGAGGACUCAGCCCCUCUCCUGUCUUACCCCUCCUGUUUUUACACUGGCUGUUUUAUUUUAGUUUUUAAAUGUUUUAACAUUGGGC